rnacentral:rRNA from 1 species
AGAGUUUGAUCCUGGCUCAGAACGAACGCUGGCGGCGUGCCUAACACAUGCAAGUCGAACGAGAAAGUUUCCUUCGGGAAGCGAGUAAAGUGGCGCACGGGUCCGUAACACGUGGAUAAUCUGCCCUCGGGAGGAGAAUAACCCGUCGAAAGAUGGAUUAAUACUCCGUAAGACCACGGAAUCUUAGGAUUUCGCGGUAAAAGGUGGCCUCUAUUUAUAAGCUAUCGCCUGAGGAUGAGUCUGCGCACCAUUAGUUUGUUGGUGGGGUAAUGGCUCACCAAGACCGAGAUGGUUAGCUGGUCUGAGAGGAUGACCAGCGACACUGGAACUGAGACACGGUCCAGACUCCUACGGGAGGCAGCAGUGGGGAAUAUUGGACAAUGGGCGAAAGCCUGAUCCAGCAACGCCGCGUGAGUGAUGAAGGCCUUCGGGUUGUAAAGCUCUGUCAGUUGGAACGAAAAAGGAUAACCUAAUACGUUAUCCCUUGACGGUACCUUCAAAGGAAGCACCGGCUAACCCUGUGCCAGCAGCCGCGGUAAGACAGAGGGUGCAAGCGUUGUUCGGAAUCACUGGGCGUAAAGGGCGUGUAGGCGGCAGGGUGUGUCUGGCGUGAAAGACCUCGGCUCAACCGAGGAAGGGCACUGGAUACUACCUUGCUAGAGUACGAUAGGGGAUGGCGGAAUUCCUGGUGUAGAGGUGAAAUUCGUAGAUACCAGGAGGAAUACCUGAGGCGAAGGCGGCCAUCUGGAUCGUAACUGACGCUGAGACGCGAAAGCAUGGGUAGCAAACAGGAUUAGAUACCCUGGUAGUCCAUGCCGUAAACGAUGAUGACUAGGUGUCGGGGGAAUUGACCCCUUCGGCGCCGACGCUAACGCAUUAAGUCAUCCGCCUGGGGAGUACGGUCGCAAGACUAAAACUCAAAGGAAUUGACGGGGGCCCGCACAAGCGGUGGAGUAUGUGGUUUAAUUCGACCACGCGAAGAACCUUACCUGGAUUAGAAACCAAGUGGAAGUUUUGCAGAGAUGUGAGGCGUUCUCUUCGGAGAACUGCUUGGCAGGUGCUGCAUGGCUGUCGUCAGCUCGUGUCGUGAGAUGUUGGGUUAAGUCCCGCAACGAGCGCAACCCCUUUCCCUUGUUGCCAUCAUUAAGUUGGGAACUCUAGGGAUACUGUCGGCGUCAAACCGGAGGAAGGUGGGGAUGACGUCAAGUCCUCAUGGCCCUUGAUGUCCAGGGCUACACACGUACUACAAUGGUCGGUACAAACCGUUGCCAACCCGCGAGGGGGAGCCAAUCGGAAAAAGCCGGCCUCAGUUCGGAUUGGAGGCUGCAACUCGCCUCCAUGAAGCUGGAAUCGCUAGUAAUCGCGGAUCAGCAAGCCGCGGUGAAUACGUUCCCGGGCCUUGUACACACCGCCCGUCACACCACGAAAGUUUGUUGGACCUGAAGCCUUGAGGUUUUCUCAAGUCGACGGUCUGAUAGAUGAUUGGGGUGAAGUCGUAACAAGGUA